rnacentral:misc_RNA from 1 species
AGACAUUUGGAGCCUGUAAAUCUUCUGGCAGCUAGGAAUGAGAGAGAAAGUGUUCAAAUUGCUAUUCGCCCAAAAGUUUCUUGGAGCAGUUCUGGUAAUGCAGGUAUUGUGCAGAUUCAAUGUACUGAUUUAUCCUCCACAUCUGGUGAUCGGUUGGUUGUUGGACAAUCAAUAACGUUUCGGAAAGUGGUUUCCAUAUUGGGUGUCCCAGAUGCUCUUGUGCCUUUAGAUCAUCCAGUUUGUCAGAUAGGCCUAGUUCCUGGAGAAACAACUGCUGUUUGGGUUUCCAUAGAUGUUCCAAGUGUACAGCCACCAGGUCAAUAUGAAGGGGAGUUCAUCGUUACUGCCAUAAAAGCCGAGUCAGAAUCUCAAUCACAGUGCUUGAGCAAAGCUGAGAAGCAUCGACUAUACACAGGACUUAGGGCCUGUCUUGACACUGUGGAGCCUAUUGAAGGAAAACCAUUGGAUGAAGUGGUAGAAAGAGUGAAAUCUGCAACUACAUCUUUAAGAAAAAUUCUUCUGUCUGCAUCAUUUUCUGAAUUCUUUUCAGAUAAUGGGCCAGUUGAUAUGAUGGAUGAAGAUGCCAUUUCAAAUCUCUCAGUUCGUGUGAAGUUAAGUUUAACUGUAUGGGAUUUCAUACUUCCAGCAACUCCUUCACUUCCUGCUGUUUUUGGUAUAUCAGAUACUGUAAUUGAGGAUCGUUUUGGUGUUGAGCAUGGAAGUGAUGAAUGGUAUGAAGCGUUGGAACAGCAUUUCAAGUGGCUUCUUCAGUAUAGAAUAAGCCCAUACUUUUGCAGAUGGGGAGACAGUAUGCGUGUUUUGACUUACACCUGCCCAUGGCCAGCUGAUCACUGGAAAUCAGAUGAAUAUUUGUCUGACCCAAGAUUGGCAGCAUAUGCUGUACCAUACAAUCAAGCAGUGUCUGGUAAUGAUGCAGCGAAGGAUUACUUGCAGAAAGAAAUUGAGAUCUUGAGGACAAAGUCUCAUUGGAAGAAAGCCUAUUUUUACUUGUGGGAUGAGCCAUUGAAUUUGGAGCAAUAUGACUCAGUCCGCAACAUGGCCAGUGAGAUCCAUGCUUAUGCUCCUGAUGCCCGUGUUUUAACUACUUAUUAUUGUGGACCUAGUGAUGCACCACUUGCACCUACACCUUUUGAGGCGUUUGUAAAAGUUCCAAAGUUCCUACGCCCUCACACUCAAAUUUACUGUACAAGUGAGUGGGUGCUUGGUAAUCGGGAGGAUCUGGUCAAGGAUAUUAUCUCUGAAUUGCAGCCAGAGAACGGUGAGGAAUGGUGGACAUAUGUGUGUAUGGGCCCCUCUGAUCCUCAUCCUAAUUGGCAUCUAGGGAUGCGUGGUACUCAGCAUCGUGCUGUAAUGUGGCGUGUAUGGAAAGAAGGUGGAACUGGGUUUCUAUAUUGGGGUGCCAACUGCUACGAGAAGGCUACAGUUCCUAGUGCAGAGAUAAGAUUUAGGCGCGGUCUACCUCCUGGUGAUGGGGUUUUGUUCUAUCCUGGUGAGGUGUUUUCAUCUUCCAGUCAACCAGUUGCUUCACUUAGACUAGAGCGCAUUCUUAGUGGCUUACAGGACAUUGAAUACCUGAAGUUUUACACUUCAAGAUAUGGAAGAGAUAAAGGGCUUUCUCUAUUGGAGAAGACGGGCGUGUAUCUAGGUCCUGAACGUUACACACUUGAGCACAUGCCAAUUGAUGUGAUGAGAGGCGAGAUUUUCAACACUUGCCGACCAAUCCACGAAUAGUCGUUACGUUCCCAGCAAGUUCACUUGGUUUGUAGUCAUAUGUUUGUUUAUACAAUCUUUUUUUAUUCCCAAAAGAUUAAAUAGUUGCACACACAGUUACAAAAUUACUCUUAAUUAUGAAAUUUUGUUUUUGAAGAAAUUAUGAAAUUGUUCUUGUUAUUAAAGAGUGUGUGUGUAUAUA